UCUUCCGCAAUGGACGAAAGUCUGACGGAGCAACGCCGCGUGAGUGACGAAGGCCUUNNNGUCGUNACAAUCUGUUAUCAGGGNAGCNCAAGCAUCGGUUAACUGCCGGUGCCGUGACGGUACCUGACCAGAAAGCCACGGCUAACUACGUGCCAGCAGCCGCGGUAAUACGUAGGUGGCAAGCGUUGUCCGGAAUUAUUGGGCGUAAAGCGCGCGCAGGCGGCUUCUUAAGUCUGAUGUGAAAGCCCACGGCUCAACCGUGGAGGGUCAUUGGAAACUGGGAGGCUUGGGUGCAGAAGAGAAGAGCGGAAUUCCACGUGUAGCGGUGAAAUGCGUAGAGAUGUGGAGGAACACCAGUGGCGAAGGCGGCUCUUUGGUCUGUAACUGACGCUGAGGCGCGAAAGCGUGGGGAGCGAAC
rnacentral:rRNA from 1 species